CCCUUUAAAAACUGGUUGUUUUUGAAGACAAACAGGCAAGGGGUUAGCGCACAAAUAUUCUCCACCCGUCAAGGACCGUUGCCGUGGAUUAAAGAGAAAAGAAAAAUCACUUCCUUUUGUUUUGCCAGGGCAUUCAAAUGCUUUAAGAUUUAGUGUAACACAGGAUCUGUUUAAGUGGCUGCAGGAAAGUGAAGAAGCACACAGACUGCAUUUUAAAUACAAAUUGCUUCAAGCUCAUCUGCCUAAAAAGAGAUAAUCACGGUAGCGUCUGAGCGCCUCACAGCCUUUAAUGCAUUUAUCUUUCUGCUUCUCUCUGCGAGAGGGAAGUGCUUUUGUCGCCUCUGCGCUCACUGGGAAGGGAGGCACAGGCAGACGCACUGACAAUCAUCACCGAGGAGCCCAACGAUGGCUGGGAUCGAUGGCAGUUAGUGCUAAAUGCAGGUGAGGAGCCGCGACCAGGUGCCUGUGCUCAAAUAAACAAGGGGAGGGACGCACCAAAUUGCCAUUGAACCCAACAGCAGCCGGAGGCUUGGACGGUCUCAGAGCCGACGCGUUGGCUUUGCAGAGAUCCUCACGGAGCCUCCCCGGCCGCGGGCCCUGGCAUCGCCCGGGCUUGCACUCCCGGCCCUGACAGCGCGCGCGUCGCCGCGCUGCGAGCUCGCACCAGGCACCGGACUCCCGCGGGCAGCACGUCCCAGGCACGCCUGGACCCUGCCUGCGCCACCAGCACGUGCGCGGCCGGCAGGGCCCGGACACCCGCCCGGGAGCGGGAGACAGGCAGUUGGAUUCACAGAAUCCCAGAGUCACAGAAUCCCAGGUG